rnacentral:tRNA from 1 species
AAAAGAUAAGCUAAGGCUAAGCUAACGGGCUCAUACCCCGUAUAUGAAGAACUCUUCUCUUUUUA